AUUAGCAGAAAUCAGUCCCAUAGAUGUGGGCCAUCCACCUGCUAGAUUGUUCAGAAGGUUGGUAUCAUCCAUCCAGAUGGAGGAUCACUGACAGGAGCGUGGAAGAUUCCAGAAUCCACUCUGGCUGGAAUCCGGUGGAUACAGCAGUGUUACAGAACAGUUCUCCACAGUCGCUGUCCACAUGGGUCAGUGGGACCAAGCAGCGCUCUGCUAAUGUGAGACUCUGAUCAGCAACAUCCAGCAAGACCCAGGCAGCGUUUUCUAUCUCCCAGCUGGUGUUUUCUGUUUGUGACUGGAGAGUCAGAUCUUUGUUGAAGCUGGAGGAACAGCCUCACACUUGCAGAGGAUAAUACACGCUACUGAUCCCUGAUGGGAGAAUCAUCACCUCUGCCAACAAAGAAGCCUGGUGGAU